CCUGAUUCGCCAGCUCUCCCCAGAUGACUGGAAACGGUCUGUAGUAGCGUAUUUCAAUAAGCAGGCUGGUAAGUCCAGGGAGGAGGCCAAACUCCACUUCCUGAAGAUCAUCUUCAAAUGGGCCACGUUCGGAUCCGCCUUCUUCGAAGUCAAGCAAACCACAGAGCCCAACUUCCCAGAGAUCCUCCUGAUUGCUAUCAACAAGCAUGGAGUCAGCCUCAUAGACCCAAAGACCAAGGACAUCCUGACA